rnacentral:misc_RNA from 1 species
AACUUUCAGCAACGGAUCUCUUGGCUCUCGCAUCGAUGAAGAACGCAGCGAAAUGCGAUACGUAAUGUGCAUUGCAGAAUUCAGUGAAUCAUCGAAUCUUUGAACGCACCUUGCGCCCCUUGGAAUUCCGAGGGGCACACCCGUUUGAGUGUCGUGAACAUCCUUCAACCUUUCUUGGUUUCUUAACCGGGGAAGGCUUGGACUUUGGGGGUCUUUCAUUGCUGGCCUCUUUGAAGCCAGCUCCUCCUAAAUGGAUUAGUGUGGUCUGCUUUGCCGAUCCUUGACGUGAUAAGAUGUUUCUACGUCUUGGGUUUCGCACUGUCGCUUUAGACCCCGCUUCGAACCGUCUUGCAUUCAAGACAGAGUUUUAAACCUUGACCUCAAAUCGGGUGAGACUACCCGCUGAACUUAAGCAUAUCAAUAAGCGGAGGCU